ensembl:lncRNA
CGUUUAAGGUUUUACCUUAAAUUUAAUUUAAAUUUAAAUACCGUAAUUUCAUUAACUGAUAUAAUGUUAAUAUACUGUACCAACUUAUUUAAGUACUGUAAAAAAUAAUCCCAAAAAUAUACGGUAAAAAACUGGCAGCUGUGGUUGCCAGAAUUUUACCGUAAAAAUUACAGUAACACCGUUUUAGGUUUAAUGGUUUUAUACCGUAAAAAAUACGGUAACACCAUUUUAGGUUUAACGGUUUUACCUUAAAUGUACAUUUUAAUACCGUAAUUUAACUGAUAUAAUAUUAAUAAACCAAUUUAUUGAAGUACUGUACUGAAAUCUGUUUUGUACCUUUGUAAUACACUGGUAACCACCAAAACCAGGUAGUGAUGAGAAAGUCACGUGACGAAACAAAGCCCAUCACAAGCAGCUUUUAAAUAAUAAGAGACAUAGACUGUGUCCAAAUUCAGGGUCUACUGUGUUACGUCACAGCGCCGCGACGAAGGCUGUCCAAAUUCAUAGGAUCCUUCAAAUGCGGCCCACAAAUACGUCCUCCUUUUCCCUGAAUUGGAAGGAUGGGUGUGGUGGAUCCUUUCCCGUCCUACCUAUCCCAUAAUUCUUUUCGGCAGAGCGUAAUGGCGGACGAAGCGAGCGGUAGUGGAGUGGGAGAGUAGUAUGCUUUUCGAUGGACGAAAGAGCAGACAGAAGUGUUUAUAAAGCUCCGGGGAGAGAACGAUGAGCUCUUCACCGGAGCAAAGAACUCUGCCACUGUGGGAUGGAGGAGUCCCUGGCAGUGUUGCUGGAGCCGCUGAAAGGAUGAGAGACAUGGAUGGAGUGCAGCAGGGAUCCGUGGCUGGUCCUCUGGUUGGCGAGUGAAACAUCACAGGGUGGUCUGCAGAGAGCUUCAGGAUGUCUCCUCCCAUUGUCCACNGGUAACACCAUUUUAGGUUUAACGGUUUUACCUUAAAUGUACAGUUUAAUACCGUAAUUUAACUGAUAUAAUAUUAAUAUACCAAUUUAUUGAAGUACUGAAAUCUGUUUUGUACCUUUGUAAUAAACUGGUAACCACCAAAACCA